rnacentral:tRNA from 1 species
GGGGGCAUAGCUCAGCUGGGAGAGCACCUGCUUUGCAAGCAGGAGGUCAUCGGUUCGAUCCCGUUUGCCUAAG